rnacentral:lncRNA from 1 species
GACAGAAUAAGAGGCUCCCCAGGCAAUCCCAAACCACAUCCUCCUAUGUUCCCGAGACACUACCUUCAACAGAACAAGCAGCAGAAUCUUUUCAAGCAGGUUCUGUGUCUGGCUGCCUGGAUUUCAACCCUGUCUUCAGGAGACAAGCUAUGUGACCUUGGCCCCCCAGUACAUCGUUGUAUAUUCUAGUUGUGGUCAUUCUGGUUUUGCUGUGUGGGACGCUGGCUCAGUGUGGCCUGGUGAGCGGUGCCAUGUUGGUGCCCAGGAUCCAAACCGGCGGAACCCUGGGCUACUGAAGCAGAGCGCGUGAACUUAACCACUCGGCCACAGGGCUGCCCCUUCAGGUUGUUUUAAAACUAGGCCAAAGGAAAUUCCUUGGUUCAACACACGUAUAAUAAGCUACUGUAGCUAAGUGCUUCUGGAGGGAUACGAAGAUGAGAAAGUAAUGAACGAAGAACGUCUGUAUGAAGCAACAGAAGAGGCUGGAAAAUUUAGGAAUGAGGUGGAAGAAAUGGACAGGAAAAGGAGACUGAGCAGCAGAGUCUUUAAAAAGGCGUCUGUAGAUGUUUGGGAAGAUCUGGAGGUUCCUGAGGAAAGAGAAACUUGUUGCUGCCGGUGACAGAACCUCGCUACUGGACAUGAGGUUUUAUUCGGGAAUCUUCCCUGGCCUAUUUUAUUCACUGGGCUUAGCAGGUAGGCUGCGCACAUAAGCUCAGCACUAGAAUUUCUCCAAAAGCCUCGUCCAUACGUCAUUUGCGUCUUCUGAUUUUCAAACCACAGGUAAUUUGCAUCUGAUUUACAAAUGUUGUGGCCAACUUAGUCAGAGGUCAGUAUCCAGGGUUACUAGAUCAGGAGUCUUUCUAAGCAUCUUCUCCUUACAUCUCCACGACCUUCACAUUAUCAAUCAAGGGUGGCGAUCCAACAGGAAGAGUGUUUAAUUCAUUCCUACGACGUCAGGGUUGGCAGCAGAUGGACAGACUGCCUGGCUAUUGGGAACUUCAUCUCUGUCAGUCUCCCGUCUGAUACCAACUUUGCCAAGCCUGACGAGCACAUCGCCAGGAUUGCAAAAUCUCUAACUGCUUAUGAAAGCACAACUGGACCUGCUGAAUUUUCACACUGCAGGACAAACCUGUUCCUCCUCACCUGCCUGCCAAGAGGUUUACAAACACUUUUGACGAUCGUUCCCCAAACUUGAGCACA